rnacentral:rRNA from 1 species
CCUACGGGAGGCUGCAGUGGGGAACAUUGGACAAUGGGGGCAACCCUGAUCCAGCCAUGCCGCGUGUGUGAAGAAGGCCCUCGGGUUGUAAAGCACUUUCAGUGAGGAAGAACGCCUGGUGGUUAAUACCCAUCAGGAAAGACAUCACUCACAGAAGAAGCACCGGCUAACUCCGUGCCAGCAGCCGCGGUAAUACGGAGGGUGCGAGCGUUAAUCGGAAUUACUGGGCGUAAAGCGCGCGUAGGUGGCUUGAUAAGCCGGUUGUGAAAGCCCCGGGCUCAACCUGGGAACGGCAUCCGGAACUGUCAAGCUAGAGUGCAGGAGAGGAAGGUAGAAUUCCCGGUGUAGCGGUGAAAUGCGUAGAGAUCGGGAGGAAUACCAGUGGCGAAGGCGGCCUUCUGGACUGACACUGACACUGAGGUGCGAAAGCGUGGGUAGCAAACAGGAUUAGAUACCCUAGUAGUC